UUUUUAGCUCACCUGGCCUGAAGGGCCAAGUGAGCUUUUCUCAUCACUUGGCGUCCGGCGUCGUCCGGCGUCCGUCGUCGUUAACUUUUACAAAAAUCUUCUUCUCUGAAACUGCUGGGCCAAAUUUAACCAAACAUGGCCAAAAUCAUUAUUAGGGUAUCUAGUUUUAAAAUUGUGUCCGGUGACCCGCCCAACCAACCAAGAUGGCCUCCAUGGCUAAAAAUAGAACAGGGGUAAAAUGCAGUUUUUGGCUUAUAACUCAAAAACCAAAGCAUUUAGAGCGAAUCUGACAUGUCGUAAAAUUGUUUAUCAGGUGAAGAUCUAUCUGCCCUGAAAUUUUGAGAUGAAUCGGACA
rnacentral:lncRNA from 1 species